AACUUUUGGCAAUGGAUCUCUUGGCUCUCGCAUCGAUGAAGAAUGCAGCGAAAUGCGAUAAGUAAUGUGAAUUGCAGAAUUCAGUGAAUCAUCGAAUUUUUGAACGCACCUUGCGCUCCCUGGUAUUCCGGGGAGCACGCCUGUUCGAGUGUCGUGAAAUUCUCAAACUGAGAUGCUUUUUUGUUUCUCGGCUUGGUGUUGGGCUUUGCAGUCCUCUUUGAUUGGGAUGGCUGUCCUCAAAAUAAUUAGCUGGUCGUUGAUGUGGCAUUGGUGCUACACAGCGUGAUAAUCAUCUGACCGCCGAGGACAUCUUUCGAGAUGGCCAAUUCUCCUCUGGGCUGAUUCUAAUCUUAGUCGAGCAGAUUCUGAAUCUGUUCCACUUUUCAAGUUUUGACCUCGAAUCAGGUGGGACUACCCGCUGAACUUAAGCAUAUCAAUCAGCGGAGGCU
rnacentral:misc_RNA from 1 species